rnacentral:misc_RNA from 1 species
CGGUUUCUGUCUCAUAGCUCGUCAUAAGCAGACCCUAUUCUAUGGGUAGGUCGAUUGCCGGUUGUCGAGACAUAUUCGCAAAACAUCGGCAGCCAGCCUAAUGACCCGUCAUAAACCUUAAACCUUAAUUAACGAAAAUAGGCAAACAGUCUUUUCCGUGAAGGACACUUCCAAAGACUGACCAAUUAACAACAACGGCAAUUUCCCUCACUCUCCGAACGAAGACUUGUCUCCACGAAUAUAAAAGACCUGGUGCCGCUAGAGAGUGGGGCAGUUUUACCUAGACAGCGUCACCGUGAGAGCUUCGAGUACGAUUUCAUCGACUAAGGCGUUGCCGACGAGUAAAGAAUAAAAGAGUCCCGUUGACCGCGGAUUCGUUAUUGAGCCUAGGAUCAUUGUCAUUAGCUUCUCGAGUAUCAAAUUAUCGCGAUUACUUGUCCAAUUCCAUCAUGGUCAUGUUUGCACUGGUAAAUAACUCCUCUAUUGCAUAAUGAUCACGUCUAGUGUCAAUAGGGAUUCGUUUCACGCCCUUAACCCUAACUCUAA